rnacentral:rRNA from 1 species
ACGCUCGACACCUACGGGAUGCAGCAGUGGGGAAUAUUGCACAAUGGGGGAAACCCUGAUGCAGCGACGCCGCGUGAGCGAAGAAGUAUUUCGGUAUGUAAAGCUCUAUCAGCAGGGAAGAAGAAAGACGGUACCUGACUAAGAAGCCCCGGCUAACUACGUGCCAGCAGCCGCGGUAAUCUGAGCGGGCUGGCAAGGC